GACUUCGGGAUAACCUCGGGAAAUCGUGGCUAAUACCGGAUAUGACGCCCUGCCGCAUGGUGGGGUGUGGAAAGACUGUGUCGGUUGGGGAUGGGCUCGCGGCCUAUCAGCUUGUUGGUGGGGUGAUGGCCUACCAAGGCGACGACGGGUAGCCGGCCUGAGAGGGUGACCGGCCACACUGGGACUGAGACACGGCCCAGACUCCUACGGGAGGCAGCAGUGGGGAAUAUUGCACAAUGGGCGCAAGCCUGAUGCAGCGACGCCGCGUGAGGGAUGACGGCCUUCGGGUUGUAAACCUCUUUCAGCAGGGGAGAAGGCCUUCGGGUUGACGGUACCUGCAGAAGAAGCGCCGGCUAACUACGUGCCAGCAGCCGCGGUAAUACGUAGGGCGCAAGCGUUGUCCGGAAUUAUUGGGCGUAAAGAGCUCGUAGGCGGUUUGUCGCGUCUGCUGUGAAAACGCGAGGCUCAACCUCGCGCCUGCAGUGGGUACGGGCAGACUAGAGUGCGGUAGGGGAGACUGGAAUUCCUGGUGUAGCGGUGGAAUGCGCAGAUAUCAGGAGGAACACCGGUGGCGAAGGCGGGUCUCUGGGCCGUUACUGACGCUGAGGAGCGAAAGCAUGGGGAGCGAACAGGAUUAGAUACCCUGGUAGUCCAUGCCGUAAACGUUGGGCACUAGGUGUGGGACCCAUUCCACGGGUUCCGUGCCGCAGCUAACGCAUUAAGUGCCCCGCCUGGGGAGUACGGCCGCAAGGCUAAAACUCAAAGGAAUUGACGGGGGCCG
rnacentral:rRNA from 1 species